UAGAGCCUGUUUCUACUUCUUCCAUUUUUAGAGUGAAAGGCUGCUCCCUCAAGCACCCAGUUUGGAAGAUUCGUUUUUGAAACUUGUGGUUAUUUCUGUUGUCCUCCUAAAGGUACAAACAAGGUCACCGAAGUCAGAUACUGACAGGCAACAGCAGAUAACACACAUAAGUGAGGUCUUAGUUGGAGGGCUCUGUGAACUGCAGAAUGCUGCCACUCCCAAAGCAGGAGAUGUCCUCUCCAGGCCCUGUGUUAUUGAAUCUUCUGAUUUCAACUUGAAUCAGAAGUCUGGGUUUUAAAUCUUGCUCACUGGUUGUGUUGAUGGGAAUGAAUAGGCGGACCAGCUUCAUUGGAUUGGCCCUGGAGGACCAAGAAUAGGCAUGUGUGUGCAGGGAUUUGCUUCCUGGAAGAUGCCACAACAAGUGGAGAACUACCACAAAUUCCAUAAACUCUCUCCUUCUAGCCCAGGGAUAAUGACAGAUGGUCACCGUGACUUCCAGUCUGGUCCUCCACUCAGGCUCUGCCUUCUCCUACUGCAUCCUAUGGGAGAAAUACUCUGCUGAUUGAGAGGAAGUGUAUUUCAUACUCCCCAGAAAUGUGAGUAUUGUAAGUAAGAAAACAGCCCACAUCUAGAG
ensembl:lncRNA